GGCGGCGUGCCUAACACAUGCAAGUCGAACGGAGAUUACGGACGGAAGUUUUCGGAUGGAAGACUGUAAUUCUUAGUGGCGGACGGGUGAGUAACGCGUGGGCAACCUGCCCUAUACAGGGGGAUAGCAGCUGGAAACGGCUGGUAAGACCGCAUAAGUCGGUUAAAUCGCAUGAUUUGAUCGGGAAAUGAGCAAUCAGGUAUAGGAUGGGCCCGCGUCCGAUUAGCCAGUUGGCAGGGUAAAAGCCUACCAAAGCGACGAUCGGUAGCCGGACUGAGAGGUCGGACGGCCACAUUGGGACUGAGACACGGCCCAAACUCCUACGGGAGGCAGCAGUGGGGGAUAUUGCACAAUGGAGGAAACUCUGAUGCAGCGACGCCGCGUGAGUGAAGAAGUAUUUCGGUAUGUAAAGCUCUAUCAGCAGGGAAGAUGAUGACGUACCUGACUAAGAGCCCCGC
rnacentral:rRNA from 1 species